rnacentral:lncRNA from 1 species
CUAAACCUAUUGCUAAACCUAGAUAGCACUAAACAGCAAAAAAAUAACAAAAACAAAAUCUACCACUAAGUAACUAAAAAAGUAUCUAGCUGCCACUAAAUACCAAACAAUAAAAAAUCAACUUCUUCUUCUUUUUUCUCUUCUUCUGCUUCUUAUUUUUUCUUGUUCUCUUGUUCUCUUCUUCUUUACUUCUUCUCCUUCUUAUUUUUUUCUUCUCUUCUUCUUCUUCUUCUUCUCCUUCUUAUGUUUUCUUCUCCUCUUCUUCUUCUUCUUCUUCUUCUUCUUCUUCUUCUUCUUCUUCUUCUUCUUUUUUUCUUC